CUUAUGGCGGUUCUCAGUGAUG
rnacentral:siRNA from 1 species